GAUGAACGCUGACAGAAUGCUUAACACAUGCAAGUCUUUGGCGAAGCUGUGCUUGCACAGCCUAGCCAAGGCGGACGGGUGAGUAACGCGUAAGGGACUUGCCCUGCAGUCAGGGAUAACAGACGGAAACGACUGAUAAGACCUGGUAAAGUCAGGCGGACUCAUGUCCAGCCUGAUGAAAAGGAAUGCUGCAGGAGAGCCUUGCGUCCUAUUAGCUUGUUGGCGGGGUAACGGCCCACCAAGGCGAUGAUAGGUAGCCGGCCUGAGAGGGUGGACGGCCACAAGGGGACUGAGAUACGGCCCUUACUCCUACGGGAGGCAGCAGUGGGGAAUAUUGGACAAUGGGGGCAACCCUGAUCCAGCAAUUCUGUGUGCACGAUGAAGGUCUUCGGAUUGUAAAGUGCUUUCAGCAGGGAAGAAAAAAAUGACGGUACCUGCAGAAGAAGCGACGGCUAAAUACGUGCCAGCAGCCGCGGUAAUACGUAUGUCGCGAGCGUUAUCCGGAAUUAUUGGGCAUAAAGGGCAUCUAGGCGGCCGGAUAAGUCUGGGGUGAAAACUUGCGGCUCAACCGCAAGCCUGCCCUGGAAACUAUGCGGCUAGAGUACUGGAGAGGUGGACGGAACUGCACGAGUAGAGGUGAAAUUCGUAGAUAUGUGCAGGAAUGCCGAUGAUGAAGAUAGUUCACUGGACGGUAACUGACGCUGAAGUGCGAAAGCUAGGGGAGCAAACAGG
rnacentral:rRNA from 1 species